rnacentral:lncRNA from 1 species
AUCUUUUCAUUGAAAUCAACUGGGAACAACAUCUGGAUCUAUAUCGUACUCAAUAGUGCAUUGACAAGAUAAAUUAAUGCACUUCAGAGUUAGAUCAGUUGGACACAUAUCUGGUGGACAUUCAGGGGUAAAUAGGCAUGGAGGAGCAUCUGGGAGGCCUAACAAGAACAAAAUAAAUGUUAAUAUAGGUGAUGGAAUAUUAUAUAUAAGUUAAAUUAUAAAUUUGAAAAUGAUAUGAAACAUUACUCACUUCCAUUGGUUGUGACCAGAAAUAGGGAAACAAAGAUGAGCAAAGCAUAAAAGAAACUUAGGAUUCGAGCCAUAAUUUUUUCUCUUUUGCAUGUGAUAAAUGGAAAAUAUUUUGAUCAAUUUAUAAAGAAAAGGUAAUGCUUUGUUAACUUCAAUGAAAUAGUUUUUAACCCUAGAAGGUGCAAGAAGUCGUUCAAAAAAUUGAAAUAGUUGGUAAAUGUUUCUAUAGAUGUGUCGUGUGUAUCUCUUUGCAAGCUCAGUUAGUCACUUAAUUUUAGUAAAUAUAUCAUAUAAGAAUCUUAAUAAUAAUCAAAGUUCAUUAAUUUUUUUCAUUAAACUUUUAAUAAAAUUUUUUUAUUUCUCUUUUAGCUUUUUAUGGUAGAUAAGAGACACAUAAAUCUUUUGGUGGAAAUAAAAAUGUAAAGAAAUAGACAGAUAUAAAAAUUUAAACACUAGUGACGAAUGACGCAAAACUUCAUAAACAGGGUUUUAUCAGCCAAAUUCGCAAAAAAAAAUUGGGUCGUUCUAAGCAAAUUCACAAUAAUCAAAGCAAAUAUGAUUACACUAGGUGAGAUUGAUGGUUAUAAUUGUGAUUCUUUAAAAAUUAAAGCAAAAAUAACAGUCACAGGAAAGAGGGUUACAAUUGUCACUCUUUAAAAAUUGGAUCUUGCACUUUGUUAAAAUAUUUCUCAAUAUAAAACAAUACGCUUAGGUGUAUGUGUAGUUUGAUUUGCAAGAGCAAAGAGUAUACUUGAAGAAAUAACACACAAAAAUUAUGAUGGUUAUUUAAUGUGGGCUAGUUUUUUGUUGUACAAGGCUAAAACAGAUAAGAAAAUUUCUGCCACAUCAUUUUGGAGGAGAUUUUUGAGGUUCAUUAGAGGAGACUCAUGUCGAAGAAAUUCAACAUCAGAAGAGGCACGAAGCUUUGCAAAAAAAUCUGCACAUUGAUUCUCUUCCCUAAGGGUGUGAUUAACCAUAACAUUUCCCUGCUCCAAUAACACUUUUAUAUCUUGGAUUAAAACAGAAUAAGCAUGAAACCUCAUUGGGGGGACCAUUGAGGAUGUUGAUACAAUGUAAAGCAUCAGAGUAGCAAACAAAAUCAAGAAUACCCAUAUAUUUGGCCAACAAGAGACCUUUAUAGAUAGCAUAGAGCUCAUCAUACAAGAUCAGAUGAAUUUUGAAUGUAUCCAGAAAAGCCUAACAAGAAAAAACCUGCAUAGUUUCUUAAAAUUCCUCCAUAGCCAGCUCUUACUGGAGAUCCAAGACAACUUCCAUCAACAUUAAGGUUGACACAAGAAUGAUUAUUGUUGGUCCACUUGAUGAAUUGUCUUCAUAGAUAGUAUUAGAGAUGGAAGUAUAACAAGCUUUGAGGGUAUCAACCAUGCCUUGAAUGUUGAAGGAUAAUUUAGCAUUUGACCAAUUCUCAUUGCCUAAGCACAUCAUGUUUCGAUUCCUCCAAGCCCACCAUAAUAUGGGCUAGUAUAGUCUUCGCAACUGUGAGAUUUCACUAUAGUAUUUAGAUAGAUGUUUUUUCUAUCAUGUGCAAUAGACAAUAAUUACAUCAAAGUUUCACCGGAAAUGAUACUGACAGCAAAACGGUUAACCAAUACCCAAACAACAAAAGGGGUUAUGGCACCAAUCAUGAAAAUUAUAAUAAAAUGUAACAGAAUAAGCUUUAGACAUGAGAAGAAAAGUAGCUUGAUAUUUUCCAAAAGCUGAGAUGGAGUGCUUUUUUUUUUUUUUUUUGCACGGAAAAUUCUAGCGUUCCCUUCCUUCCAAAUUAGUCAAGUGCUUGCAAACUUAAGUACAUAAAGGAGCACCGAGCUUUAGAGAUACCUGAAGAAAUAUUGAUCUGAAGAUAAUGAGCUGAUAUGGUUAAAGGGUUAACCGAAGAAACACCUAACCAAAGAUGAACCAACUGCCAAACCUGACCAAAUACUUCGCAAUGCAAGAAUAACUGAUCCGCUGAUUCAAUAUUUCCACAACCAGAGACACAAACUGAGCAUCUUCCUGAAUAAUCCUUCUCCGAUAUAAAUUGUCCUUCAUAGGCACUCUAUCACGGAGAAGCCGCCAAGCAAAGACUGAAACUUUAAGCAGGACAUUUUACCUCCAGAUGCUAGGCGCAGAAGCUGAUGUAGCAGAAGGCAUGGUUGCAAACUCAGCCAACAGAGAAUGGUAAACACCACGCACCGUAUAACUUGCUACUAAAUCAGGAAUCCAAUACAAGACAUCAUUAAUAUUAACCUGCAACACAACAAUUAGUAACAACAAUGUACACUCCACUAACUGCUCCUCCUCCCAGGCCCUCAAUCCCCUUCUCCACUUCCACGCCUCCCCUCCCUCGUCCCACCCCAGCUGGAACAUUUGCGCAGCAAUUAAAAAUUUAUUUUCAGACAAAUCAAAUAACCGAUGAAAACGAACCUGCAAGGGAACCUCACCUACCCACCUAUCAAACCAAAAUAAAGUACCUGCACAAUUUCCGACCUUUAAACAAACAUUAGAAAACCAAGUACCCACCAUCGAACCAACACCAUCCCGCAUAUUAGCAAUUUCCUUCCACCACGUCGACCCAUCCCUUCCGCCUGCCUGAACUCGGCCCUCCACUAGCCCAUACCUAGCGGCGAAGACAUUAUAUCAUAAGCCAUGUGAAGGUGAAAAACACAAGAAGGGGGGGGGGGUUGAAUUGUGUUUUCUUUUUCUCUUAAAAAGGGAUUCUUCUUCUGAUAAAACUUCAGAAGCAGUUUGAUUGCUUCUGAUGAAAUGAUCAGAGUCAGAUUGCAGCGGAAAAGAACAGAGCAGAGAAAAGAAAGACAAAGACACAAGCAGUUAUCCUGGUUCCUUCCACAACACGGAAGUAGUCCAGUCCCCCUUGCACUUCCAAGGAGAUUUCACUAUAAUCACAAAGAUUACAACUGCUCAAUACUUUCUAAGUAUGAGACUUCACAAAAAUGCUCAAGCACACACGCAAGAGUCUUCCAAUGCUCAAGCACUAAGCAAGAGACUUCUAAUGCUCAAGCACGCAGGCAAGAGACUUCUAAUCAAACAAAAAUACAGAGAAUUGAGUUUGAAUUGAACACUUGAUAUACAAUCAGUGGUGUUCACAAUGCAAUACAGAAAAGACUCUAGACUUUGAAUUUCUAAGAUGUAUCAAAUCAGUGCAGAAAUUCAGUGUGCUUUGUAGAAUCAAAUUGACAGAGUUUUGGCGCUUUUGAACUUAUGUAUCUCUCUCUGUUAUCUUCAAGUCUUCACUCCUUUAUAUAGAGGCGUGAAAGAGACGUUGAGAUAAUCAGCACGUCUAAAGAGUCGUUUGAAAUCCUUUGAUUAUCCACCAGUGAUCCUUUGCCUGAUUUGGGUGUAGUCCUUUGAAGAAUAAACUUCAAAUUCAUUCCCAUCUUGAGUGUACAAUUCUGCAGGCAUGGCUGUUGUUUUGUCUUGUAGCGUAGACAGAAAACAGAGUAGUGGAGGUAGUGGUUGUACACUUGUACUUUGUCAACUCUAUUAACGAGAGACAAGAGCUCAGUGCUAUCCAUAUAUCCGUUGAUACCUCCCUUUCAAUUCUUCGUUCUUCUUUGAUAAGACUGAAUUGAAAAUCAGCUACUUUGAAUCUUCAGUUUGAUUAAAGGAUCAAAUGUAGCUUCUGGUGAAGAUAUUGCUUCUGAUGAAAACUUUUGCUUCUGAUGACUUUCUGCUUCUGAUGACGUCAUCUCUUCAGGAGCAGUUUAGCUUCAGGAGCAGUUUUCUUCAGAUGCUCAGAAUUUCUUUUUCUUUCCAUUGUUCUUCCAAGACCUAUUGAAAUAACUUGAGUAGCCUUUGGUCCUGUACACUUGAACAAUUAUUAGUAAUAACCAAUUGACAAUUUUUAAUACCUUGUUAUCAUCAAAACUUAAUAAGGUUCAUUGUGAAACACAUUUUGUUCCAACAAUCUCCCCCUUUUUGAUGAUGACAAACAAUAGUAUUUAAAAUGUUCAAUUGUUGUUGAUCUAAUUAAUAAGUUGACUACUGGGACAGAGGUUUGUAAGCUCCCCCUGAGUCUAAUAGAUCUUUAAGGUGAGGUUUGUAAGCUCCCCCUAAGUUCUAUUCUUAUUAAUUAAAUUUCAAUAAAAUACUUAUAAAAUCAAAUCAGAAGUAUUUAAAAGAAAUUUAGAGUAGGGCUCAGUGCCUUAAAAAAUACUAUACAUUUACUCCCCCUUUUGUCAUCAACAAAAAGAAUAGAAACAAAAGAAAGAGUAUCAGAGCAAACAGCAUUAAAAACAGUAAAUAUCAUCAGAGUUAAAGCUUGUAAAACAUAUUGAAGGUGAAAAAGCACAAGAUCCAGAAACAAUGAUAAUAUAUAUAAAGAAAGAUUAAGAUACAAAGACACAGCUACUAAGAACAAAAGUAAAAAACAAGCUAGAGUUGGGUGUGCAACUAAGGUUGGGCUUGCUUAUACAACUGUUCUAAGAGAUACUUGAUCUGAUCAUCCUUCUUCUGAAGUAGCUCAUCCUUUUCCCUCAUUCUUCGUUUAUAUCCAGCCUGAAUUCUAGCAGCCCUAGUGAUGUACUCUUCUUCUGGAUAGAAAGGAGUGAUGUCCAGCAGAGGCACAAAGUUCAGCUCUUUCUCCUUAGCUGCUUCAUGCAUGUCAUCCAAAAGCUUCUUCAGCAUAGCAGAGUGAGAUGACACACAUUUAGUUCUAAGCUGAUCCAGCAGCUCAUCAAAGCUCUUCUGAAGAUCCAUCCACUGAUCAUAAUAGUGAAUAGGAGGUGCAGGAACUGUUCUGCGAAGAAUCAGUGCCUGAAUCUCAUCACUAAGUCUAAUCAGCUGUUCCUCUAUAUACUCAGACUCCAGGAUAUGGUCAGGGAUGGGUGAAGGUUCAGUUUGAGUUGUAUUUGAUGUGGAAGGUUGGUCAGAGGUUAAGUCUAUUAUAGUGGGUGAGUCUGGUUGUUGUUGUUGUUCUGUUGUUUGGUCAGAAGCUGUUUGGUCAGGAGCAACUUGUUCAGAAGCAGUUUGCUCCUGAACAGUUUGCUCAGGGAUGGUUUGGGUUUCUGUUUGGGUUUCCAAGACAGUCUUUUCAGAAACUGUCUUAGAGGCCUUAGUGGGUGUUGGUUGCAUUUCACCACCUAGAUGUUUUUCUAAGUUGUGAAGGGUUGAGGAUUCUUGGUGUUGGGGGGUUUCUGAAGUAGUUGCAUCUGAAGCUACUUCAGAGGCUUUUUGUGGAGUUUGGUUAUUUGGUGAGUUUGUUUGGGUAGGUUCAGGUUGUUGUAUACUAACAGGUUCUGGAGUAUCUGGAUAUAGUGGAUGAGUAGUAGGCAAAUUGAAUUUCUCACAAAGUUUUAUCCUAUUUUUUGAAAAUUCUAUUUGAGUACUCUCAUAGUCAAGUGUUCCAUACUCUGUUAGUUUGGUAGGUUUGGUUUUUAGAAGCUUGUUUAUAUGUUGGCUAAGGGGUUGGUCAUCUGAUUCUGUGGAUGAUGAAGAGGGUGAAGAGGGUAGAGAUAGAGACUGAGUAUUAGUUGGAGCUUUAGAUGGAUUACCUGAGGACUGAGCUUCUGGAUGAAUUGCUUCUGGAGCUUUUGAAGCUGGUUCUGAUGAAGUUGCUCCUGAAGCUUGCUUAUUCUUCAAGGCUUGAGAAAGCAGAGUUGCUCCAUACUGAACUGUUUCUUGCUCUAACUCAGAAGCUAAAGCAGCGAUGACAGGAGUAGGCACAUACCCUGCAGCCUUGAGACGCUCAUCCCUUUCUUUUUCAUACAACAUCUUCAUCCUUUUCUUUUCUGCUAUCUUGGAUGCAGAAACCUCCCUAGCAUACUGCCUCAUUUCUUCAGUCAUUUCAAAACUGGGCAUGACUAUGGGCUCAGAAGUUGCAGUCCUUUUUGCCUUCUUGGGGCUUGAGUCUUCAUCCCAAUUUUCUUCCAUUUCUUUCAACAUUUCUUCCCUUCUUCCUUCAGCUGUCUUCAGAUUUUUUGUUAAAUUAGACCUCUUCCUUUUGAUGGUCUGAAGAGCAGCUUCUCUUUUAUUUUUGGGACUUGAAGGCUUUUCAGAAGCAGCUUGAUCAGAAGCAGCUUGUUCAGAACCAGUUUGUUCAGAAGCAGGCUGUUCUGCUGUUUCUUGAGUACUCCUUGUCCUUUUUCUGAUAAGAGGGACAUCAUCCAAAUCCUCCACUUCCUCAAGAAUGGUGGACAUAGCAGAUUUUUCCUUCUUGGCUUUCUUAUGCUUCUGAGCAUCCACCUCAGUAGCAUCUUCAGCAAGGUAUUCUUCCUUGGUGAUCUGCUUCUUUUUAGAUUUUCUGCCUUUGGCCACAGGCAGAUCACCACCAUACAUUUCUUCUGGGAUAUCUUUCAGGCUGAUUUUCUUGUUGUAGUUCUUGUAGUAGUCUAAGAUGUAGGCCCUCUGCACAUCCAGGGGAUCUUUCUUGCAGAUAGGGAUGUGAUGAGUGACUAGAUCAGAUAUGACAUCAGAUUCAUGCAUAUCUGUAUCUAGUUUCCUGCAUGUUGAAAUCAGCCUCAUCUUGACUAAGGUUGCCCCAUUGAUUAUUUUUCCUGUGACUGCUCCCAACUUCUGAUUAUCAUAAAUACCCACGUCUUUCAGGGCACUUAGGAGUCCUCCUUCUUGAAAGAUUAUGGAGAGCAGCCUUCCAUAGGGAACAAACUUCCUGUUCUCCAUCUGGCUCUUCUUGAGUUCUUUGAUCAUGUAUUUAAACAUAUACUUAGGAACGUUCAUUGUUGUUUCCUGAGAGAUGGUGUGAUGCAGAAAGACUUUGUGACCAAGUGAAGGUUGAUCAUUUCCUCCACCUUUGGGAAAAAUGUUUUCAUUCUAGAUCUUCAGCAGCAUUUUCUUUUCCAUGCUUAAGGUGCUGUAAGGCUUAGCAUCCUUUGAUCCGUAGAUAGUGUUGUUUACUAUUUCCUUCCAAGGGCUUGUUCUGGGGUUAGGAAUCUCUUCUCCAUCGUAUGUCCCAGAAGCAUCUCUCCUCAUAGCUUGAGCAAUCACUUGCUCAUUGAUUGUUACAGGAAUCCCCAUGACGUUUGAUCUAAUCUCAGUCCCAGUGAAGGCGAGUAGACCCAUUUCUUCUCUGGUUUUUCCCUCCAAAGUAGGAUCAACCAGAAUCAUCUGAGCUUCUUCCUGUUUAGCAGCAACUUUGUCAAACACUGAAGCUCUUACCCAGAAUUGUCUGACAAGCACUUCAUAAGUAGGACCGUUGAGAAGACUGAAGUAACUCAUUAGCUUCUGCUUCUUGUAGAAUCUUACCAAGUCGCACCCAUGGUGAGUUAGAGAAGUGAAAUCCACAGGAUUUUCCGCUUGAAUGAUUAGCUCCCAUUCCUCAAUAGACAUAGUUCUUCCUUUGAUUUCAUAAGCAGGAGUAUCUAUAUCCAUAUUCGAUGAAGAACCACCGGCAGAACUUGAAGAUGCCAUUGAUUUGAAGUAGAAUUAGGGUUCUAAGGUGUUUUGAGAGGUUGAGAGAAUGUGCUUACUUACACAGAGGGUUGAGAGGAAAUAAGAAAGUGUUUGUUGUGAAGUGAGAAGUGUGUGAAAUGACUUAGUGUUUUUUAUUAAAACGUUUGUAAUUCAGAAGGGACAAACAAACACAACAUUAAUGACAAAUUGGGGGCGCGUGUAAGUAUGUUAAAAAGCGAAUAAAAACAUCAUUGCCCUUUUUGUUAUACUCCAAUACAAAUAGACCACGUCAGAGACUCUUCAGAAAACUACCUUUUGGGUAAUGGGACAGCUGUUACAUAAAGUAACUGCCAACGUUCCCACUAACCAAGCUUUUCAGAAGCAAAGAAUAACACUUCUGAAGUUUUAGUGCUGACGUCAUCUUCAGAAGCACAUUUUCCUCAGAACCUCAGUUAAGAGCUUCUGAUGAACCAAAAUGCUUCUGAAUAAACUUCAGAACCAAACUUCUUAUUCAGAGGCAAGCAAAUUUUCAAUCAGACACAAAAUGCAUGUUCAAAUUUUUCUUAAUAAAAUCAAAUCUUUCAACAGACAAAGGUUUUGUAAAUAUAUCAGCCCAUUGAUGUUCAGUAUCAAUGAAUUGUAUAUCUAAAAUUCCUUUUUGAACAUAGUCUCUGAUAAAAUGGUGUUUGAUUUCAAUAUGCUUGGCUCUUGAAUGUAGAAUUGGAUUCUUUGACAAACAAAUAGCAGCAGUAUUAUCACAAUAAAUGGGAAUACUGUUAGCAUUGAUCUGAUAGUCUUCCAACUGAUGUUUCAUCCAAAGUAGUUGUGUGCAACAACUUGCAGCUGAAAUGUACUCUGCUUCUGCUGUAGACAUAGCAAUAGUUGCUUGUCUUUUGCUUGCCCAGGAUAUCAGAUUCUCUCCCAGGAAUUGACAAUUUCCACUGGUUGAUUUUCUUUCAAUCCUAUCACCAGCAUAAUCAGCAUCACAGAAUCCAAUCAACUUAUAAUCUAGGGAUUUCCUAUACAGGAGUCCAAGAUUAGUUGUUCCUUUCAGAUACCUGAAGAUUCUCUUAACUGCAGUUAAAUGAGAUUCUCUAGGAUCUGAUUGAAAUCUUGCACACAAGCAUACACUGAAUAAAAUAUCAGGUCUAGAUGCAGUGAGGUAUAACAGAGAACCAAUCAUACCUCUGUAUAGCUUCUGGUCUACUACUGUUCCAGUAUCUUCUUUGCUUAAAGUGCAGGUUGGAUGCAUUGGAGUGUUCAUCACUUUACAAUCUUCUAGCUUGAACUUCUUCAGAAGCUCCUUUGUAUAUUUUGUUUGAUGAACAUAUACUCCUUCUUUACUUUGGUUGAUUUGAAUUCCCAGAAAGAAUUUCAAUUCUUCCAUCAUACUCAUUUCAAAUUCAUCCUGCAUUAACUUAGAAAAUUCUUUGCAAAGAGAUGCAUUAGUAGAACCAAAUAUUAUAUCAUCAACAUAUAUUUGCACAAUCAAAAUAUCUUUCUUAAGAGUCCUUCUGAAGAGUGUUGUGUCAACUUGUCCUCUUUCAAAAUCAUUUUUAAUUAAGAAAUUACUUAGUCUAUCAUACCAAGCUCUGGGAGCUUGUUUCAAGCCAUAUAGUGAUUUCUUAAGUUUAUAAACAUGGUCAGGAUGCUUAAGAUCCUCAAACCCAGGAGGUUGUUUAACAUACACUUCUUCUUCAAUGACACCAUUAAGAAAGGCACUUUUGACAUCCAUUUGAUAUAAUAUUAUGCCAUGAUUAAUUGCGUAGGAUAGAAGUAACCUGAUUGCUUCCAAUCUUGCAACUGGAGCAAAUGUUUCAGUGUAAUCAAUGCCUUCUUGUUGACUGUAGCCUUGAGCAACAAGUCUGGCUUUGUUUCUGGUUACUUCUCCUUGUUCAUUCAGCUUGUUUCUGAAUACCCAUUUUGUUCCAAUAAUGUUUUUCUGAAAAGGUUUGGGUACCAGAUCCCACACAUCAUUCCUUUGGAAUUGAUUUAGCUCUUCUUGCAUAGCUAAUAUCCAUCCAUCAUCUGUGAGAGCUUCUUCAACAGUUUUAGGCUCAAUUAUUGAAAGCAGUCCUAUUAAUGAUUCUUCUUGUCUAAAAUGUGAUCUUGUUCUUCUAGGACUAUCUUUGCUUCCAAUGAUUAGCUCCUCAGGAUGUGAAGAUUUGUGCUUGAAUUUAGGUUGAAUAACCUGCUGAGUGUUAUCUUGAAAGUCCUCAGAAGCAAUUUCAUUCUGUACUUUUGGGCUAUGUUCUGCUUCUGAAUUAGACUCAGCUUCUGGAGUGAUUUCAGUUUCUGGACUAGAUUCAACUUCUGUAUACUUUUCAGAUUCAGAAGGUUGAUCAGAUUCUGAUGCAUCUUCAGAAUCAGUUGUACCUGCAUUACUUUCACUUUGCUCUGAAGUUUUACUUUCAGGCUCUCUAUCAUCAAAUUUUACAUGCAUAGAUUCUUCAACACAUUGUGUUUCUGAAUUAUACACUCUGUAUGCCUUUGACCUUUCAGAGUAACCUAAAAAUAUUCCUCUUUGAGCCUUGACAUCAAAUUUCUUCAGAUAGUCUUUAGUGUUUAAGAUGUAACAAGUACAUCCAAACUGAUGAAAGUAAGAGAUAUUGGGUCUUCUUCCUUUAAAGAGUUCAUAUGCUAUUUUCUCCAACAUAGGUCUGAUAUAGAUCCUAUUUUGAAUAUAACAUGAAGUAUUGACUGCUUCUGCCCAAAAAUGUUUAGCUAAGUUGUUUUCAUGGAUCAUGGUUCUGGCCAUUUCUUGUAAGGUUCUGUUCUUUCUUUCUACAACCCCAUUUUGUUGUGGAGUUCUACGAGAAGAAAACUCAUGGUGAAUCCCAUGUUUUUCACAAAAAAGUUCAAAUGGCUCAUUUUCAAAUUCUCCACCAUGAUCACUUCUGACUUUCAAAAUUUUCAAUUCUUUUUCAGAUUGUAUUUGAGUGCAGAAGCUGCUAAACACUUCACAUGCAUAGUCUUUACUUUUAAUGAAUUUUACCCAAGUCCAUCUGCUGUAAUCAUCAACAAUGACUAAUCCAUAUUUACUUCCAUAUAAAGAUGCAGUGUUAACUGGACCAAAAAGAUCAAUAUGGAGUAAUUCUAAGGGUCUGGAGGUUGAUACAAUGUCUUUAGAUUUGAAAGAAUUUUUCACAAUUUUCCCUUUCUGACAUGCACCACAAAGUGCAUCUGAAUGAUAAUCAAUGUUAGGCAAUCCUUUGACCAGUUGUAACUUGCUAAUUUUAGAAAUUAAUCUCCAAUUAGCAUGUCCCAACCUUUUAUGCCAUACCCAUUUUUUAUCAUUCAUUGACAGAAGGCAAACUACCUUCUGAUCAGCCAGAUCAGAGAAAUUUAUUUUAUAGACAUUCUCAACUCUCUUUCCCUUGAAUGUAAUGGAUUUGUCAUCCUUGUUGACUAGUGUGCAGUUGGUCUUACUGAACGUUACAUCAUACCCAUUGUCACAAAAUUGACUAAUGCUCAAUAGGUUAUGCUUCAUACCAUCUACUAGCCACACAUUAUUAAUUGAGAUGGAGGAAUUACCAAUAGUACCUGUACCAAUGAUCUUUCCAGUUUGGUUGCCACCAAACUUCACUUCUCCUCCAUCUUUCAUUGUAAGGGUAAGGAACAAAGCUUUCUCUCCAGUCAUGUGCCUUGAACAUCCGCUGUCUAGGUACCAUGACCUUUGUUUCUCUCUUGCCCUUAAGCACACAUCAUUUUCAUCUUCUGAAUCUGAUUCAGCUUCUGAUACUGUUUCUGAUGAUACUGCUGCCACUAACCCAACGGCUGCCUUAGCAUCAUCAUCAGCUUCUUCUUUAUCAGAACCAGAUUCACUAUCCAAAUCUUCCCAGGUCGCCAUCAAGCUCUUUUUGAUUUGCUUUCUGAAUUUACUGGAGUUGAAGCUUGAUUUCUUGGAUUUGCCUUUAAACUUCUCCUUCUGAAGAUCAGGGCAAUCAGCAAUGAAAUGACCAGGCUUCUUACAAUUGAAGCAUCCCUUCUGAUCUUCUUUCUUGAAGUUCUUGUAGCUACCUCUCUUGCUCAAAAAUUUCUUCUGCUUCCUUGCCAGAUACUCAAGCUUGUUGGACAGCAUAGCCAUCUUUACAGAUUGAUCUUCAUCAGAAUCUCCAUCAGGUGAUUCUUCUUCAGAUUCACUGGCUUUGUAGGCUUUGGAAGACUUUGAGGUCUUUCCUUUAGAUGGUAAAGCAAUGGAUUUACUCUUCUUAGAGGUUUCAUGCUCAUUUAGACUCAUUUCAUGCACUUUGAGUGAGCUAACAAGAUCUUCAACACUUAAAGUAUUUAGAUCCUUAGCUUCCUCAAUGGCAGUUACUUUGGGUCUCCAUCUUGAAGGUAGGCUUCUCAAAAUCUUACUAACAUGAUCAGAAGAAACAUAGCUUUUCUUCAGUAUUUGCAAUCCAGAAACUAAAGUUUGAAAUCUUGAGUACAUUUCUUCUAUACUCUCAUCAUCCUUCAUUCUGAAAAGUUCAUACUGAUGAACUAGCAUCAAAGCUUUAGCCUCUUUUACUUUCUUGCUGCCUUCAAAGUUUGCACAAAGAGAAGCAAACAUAGCUUUCGCAGUAGAUUUGUCACUCAUUUUCAUGUAUUCGGUGCGAGGUAUAGAAGCCACAAUGAUUCCUCUUAUCUUGUGGUGUUUCUUAUAAAGCUUCUUCUGAGCAGGAGUAUGUAUUCUUCUGUCUAUAGCAGCUCCUUCUUCAUCCAAAUCCAGAUCAUCAACUCCAUCUUCCAGUAUAUCCCAUAGCUCUUCAUCCAAUCCCAUGAUAAAGCUGUACAUAUUAGUUUUCCACCAUGAAAACUCUUCUGGAUCUCCAUUAAACUUUGGAGCUUUUCCAGAGUCUGUUUUCUUGUCAGCAGUAUCAUAGUCAUGCUUGACACUUGUGUAUUUUGUAGUAACUGAUUCCUCAUCUCCAGACAUGUUUUUCUAAUAGAUCUUGAACUGUAACACGGUUAAGUGCUGUGAUAACAGAGCAAGCUCUGAUACCAAUUGAAGGUGAAAAACACAAGAAGGGGGGGGGGGGGGGGGGUUGAAUUGUGUUUUCUUUUUCUCUUAAAAAGGGAUUCUUCUUCUGAUAAAACUUCAGAAGCAGUUUGAUUGCUUCUGAUGAAAUGAUCAGAGUCAGAUUGCAGCGGAAAAGAACAGAGCAGAGAAAAGAAAGACAAAGACACAAGCAGUUAUCCUGGUUCCUUCCACAACACGGAAGUAGUCCAGUCCCCCUUGCACUUCCAAGGAGAUUUCACUAUAAUCACAAAGAUUACAACUGCUCAAUACUUUCUAAGUAUGAGACUUCACAAAAAUGCUCAAGCACACACGCAAGAGUCUUCCAAUGCUCAAGCACUAAGCAAGAGACUUCUAAUGCUCAAGCACGCAGGCAAGAGACUUCUAAUCAAACAAAAAUACAGAGAAUUGAGUUUGAAUUGAACACUUGAUAUACAAUCAGUGGUGUUCACAAUGCAAUACAGAAAAGACUCUAGACUUUGAAUUUCUAAGAUGUAUCAAAUCAGUGCAGAAAUUCAGUGUGCUUUGUAGAAUCAAAUUGACAGAGUUUUGGCGCUUUUGAACUUAUGUAUCUCUCUCUGUUAUCUUCAAGUCUUCACUCCUUUAUAUAGAGGCGUGAAAGAGACGUUGAGAUAAUCAGCACGUCUAAAGAGUCGUUUGAAAUCCUUUGAUUAUCCACCAGUGAUCCUUUGCCUGAUUUGGGUGUAGUCCUUUGAAGAAUAAACUUCAAAUUCAUUCCCAUCUUGAGUGUACAAUUCUGCAGGCAUGGCUGUUGUUUUGUCUUGUAGCGUAGACAGAAAACAGAGUAGUGGAGGUAGUGGUUGUACACUUGUACUUUGUCAACUCUAUUAACGAGAGACAAGAGCUCAGUGCUAUCCAUAUAUCCGUUGAUACCUCCCUUUCAAUUCUUCGUUCUUCUUUGAUAAGACUGAAUUGAAAAUCAGCUACUUUGAAUCUUCAGUUUGAUUAAAGGAUCAAAUGUAGCUUCUGGUGAAGAUAUUGCUUCUGAUGAAAACUUUUGCUUCUGAUGACUUUCUGCUUCUGAUGACGUCAUCUCUUCAGGAGCAGUUUAGCUUCAGGAGCAGUUUUCUUCAGAUGCUCAGAAUUUCUUUUUCUUUCCAUUGUUCUUCCAAGACCUAUUGAAAUAACUUGAGUAGCCUUUGGUCCUGUACACUUGAACAAUUAUUAGUAAUAACCAAUUGACAAUUUUUAAUACCUUGUUAUCAUCAAAACUUAAUAAGGUUCAUUGUGAAACACAUUUUGUUCCAACACCAUGUCUCUCUGUCACCAACCUCCAGCACCACUUCCCCAGCAAUUCUAAGUUAAAUUCCCUAAUUCUCCUCACCCUCAAACCACCAACCUCAUUAUCCAAACAAAUAGUAUUCCAAUGAAUCCAAGAAAUUUUCCUAUUAUCCUCACAUCCUCCAAAAAAAAAAAACAAAUAAAAAGAUAUUCGAUAGAGGAGCUUGUUGUUGGCGCCUUUUUGGAACUGCGGCGGAUUCUGCGCAACCUCCAACAAAGCUACCAAGGUACUCAACUUCUCUAACUCGCCCCGCAGUGUUGUCACCUCUUCACGAAGCUCGUGGAUUUCUUGCUCGAUCGUAUCCAUUUCCUUUUUAGUGUUUGCAUGAGUAUUGUAGGUGCGAGUUGGCUUAGGGUGAGGACGUCGAGCCACUUUCGAGGCAGAUUGACCUUUUGUAUGAAAGAGCAAUAUGUGAGACUCAGACCUUUGAAACUAUGAAUUCAUAAUGAUGCAUGAUUUUUAUGAAAAAAGGACAAUUUUAUUUAUUUUUGAAGGACUUUCAAAGCAUUUGUGAACAUCACAGAGAACCUUGUUUUAUUUAACAAUUUUUUAGGUUUACAAUCAGUUCCUUUUUUAGAAGCAAAAAAAAAAACGCUAGGAAAAGAAGUCCCUAACAAAAGCUAAAGUCUAGUUAAGACUUUUGAAGAUGUAUUUCUUGGUGCUCCUUUUUACAAGGUCCAUAUAUGUGAUGUUUACAAGACGACUUAUCUAAGUCCUUCGAUAUUAAUGAGAAUUUUUUUUGAAUGCAUGCAUGCAUGAUAAUGCAACAAAAACAUUGAAAACAUGGUUUAUGGUUUAGGCCCAUGGUGAUGGACUCAAGGGUAAGAGCCCCCAUAUGGUAAGGACUAUGGUUUCAUUUGUUGCUGCAUUAUGGGUUCUACCAAGUUCCCAAAGUCAUUGACCCUUUCCGGAUAUCAUUGGCUUACAAGACUGACUUCUGGUCCAACAAUAUUCGCAAGAGAAUCUAUGCAGCUCGACUGAUCUCAUUUUCUUUUUCUGGAUCUUCGAGAUGUACGUUGUGAAAUGAAUCUUAGACAUUUUCAUGAAUAAAUUUUUUUGCACUAAAUCAAUAUCCUUUUGUAAAAUAGGGCAGUUUUGUAAAAUAUUCGCAGAUUGUACAUGCUCAAGAAUAGGGAUCAAAUCCCAUUUAAUAUUUUCGCCAAUCAUCGCAUAUGUUGCAUUAAACAAAGACAUAUGGAAUGAAGUGCUUACCUUGGUUUGGUCAACUUGCUUUUCGACUUCACUUCCUUUCUCCAUAGUUUAAUCCACAUUAAUCAAUUGCUGCUUCAUGUGAUCAACUGGUUUCGACGUGAUGUAUGUGUCCAUGUUGACCACUUUCUUUGGUACAUCUUGCUACAAAAGUUUCUUUGAUGUUGGCUAAUCUUUAUCGAAAGGUUUCUUCCUGAGAACAAUUGUUUGUGGGGAUGGAUUCAUUUGCAAGUCGAAACGGAACGACCUAUGACAUGGUAAUGAGACCAACAUUCAAGGAGUCGGUCGUAAGUUACUUGUCAUAAAAAUUGUAUCCAUAUCCAUUAAAAUUCUUGCAUAGUGACCGAAAAGUUUGUUCUGUUUGUAUCGUCUAGAUUUAAUAGUGUGCCAACGACACUAGCAAUUUUGAAGAGCAUCUGAUCCUACCAAUAUUCUUGUGGCAAAUAAAUUAAACGGAUCCAAACCCGUACAUGAGUUUGACAUUGAGUAAUAAGAUUAAAGUCCUCUUGCCGUUGCAAUAUUUGAUGGACACCCGAUUUAAGAUUCAUAGUGUUCCUAGCUCAUACUAAACAUAAAUCUUCAUAGUUUGAAAACUUAAAAUCAUAAAACCCACGUGUGAGAGAAAUCAUUUCCCAUCGCCAUGUAGUAUUUCACAGCUUGGAAAGCUUAAGCAUCAAAUCCUUCACGCUAUACGACUUAUCUCCUUUGUGACUCUAAAAUGAAAAGCUAUUAGAAAUAAUUUUUCACAAUUUUAUUUUUUUUUUGAAAUGUUAACUAGUGCCUUCGGGGCACUAGUUAAAGACUACAAGUGGUAAGUAUUUAUGAAAAUGUGUGUAUUAAUUGCAUUGGAAAUUGAAAUAUUUGAUUUUUUUUAAAAUAAUUGUUUAUAUUAGUAUGCUUAAAGAGUGACCCGAAGGCACUCGUUAACAAGACUCUCCAAAACAAGGAGAUAACACGUGUACAAACUAAAACUUUUUUUUAAAUGAUUUUUAUGGUUAAUAUGUUGGAACAAAAUGUGUUUAACACUACCCUUUAGAGUUUUGAUGAUAACAAGGUAUUAAAAAUUGUCAAUUGGAUAUGCUAAUAUUUGUUCAACUGUGCAGGACCAUAGACAAAAAUUUAAUGUCUCUUUGAAGCUUAGAUUCUGGAAGAACAAAUGAGAGCAAUGGAAUCAACAAGAUGGAAGCUUGAAGCAUCUGAAGAAAAGAGGUUCUGAAGUCAAGUGCUCCUGAAGUGAUGAUGUCAUCAGAAGCAAGUUCAUUAGAAGCACCUCAUCAAAAGCAUUAUCACCAGAAGCAGUUUUUCAUCAGAAGCUGAAGAUCAUCAGAAGAUGAGAGAAUUAAAGCUUCAAAGGCUGUUCAAAAUAUUUAAUCAUCAGAAGUCAAAAGAGUGAAGCAACGGCUAAUUCAAAAGGAUUUGAAUGCAUUAGAUGUUUGUUCUUUGAAGAGCGUUGAAAAAGGACAAUUGUACGAAGUGUACAACCACUACUCUCUUUGUGUCUACAUCAGGACAAGAAUAACAGCUAUGCCUGCAACGAUGUUCCUCCAUACUUGGAAUGGAUUUGAAAUUGAUCCUUCAUAGUAUAAUAACCAAAUCGGGAAAAAGAUCAUUGGUGAUUUGAUCAAGCUUCAAACGACUCUUUUUGAUGUGUUGGGAAUUCACAACGUCUCUUUCACACCUCUAUAUAAAGGAGUGAAGACUUAGAGAAUGACAAGACUCAUACAACAAUUUACAAGUGUCAAAACUCUGUCAAAAUUGUUCUGCAUCAAAAGUUCACUUAGAAUUUCUUAACAACUUUCAUAUCUUAGAAAUUCUAUAGUCUUAAGAGUCUGUAUCUGAUUUGUAUUGUGAAUACCACUAAUUGUAUAUCAAGUGUUCAACCUCAAACAUAUUUAUUUGCAAUUCUAUUUGAAUAGAAGUCUCUUGCUUUUGUGCUUGAGUAUAGAAAGUCUCUUGAUUUAGUUCUUGAGCAUAGGAAAUCUCUUUCAGUCUUGAGUAGUUUGAAGUCUCUUGGUAGUUUUAGCAGUGAGCAAUUGUAAUCAAAUAUUACAUUUUUAGUGGACUCUCCUUGGAAGUGCAAGAGGAAUAUGACUACUUCCGGUUUGUGGAAGGAACCUCUAUAAUUGCUUUGUGUCUUUCUUCUCUCUCUCUCUCUCUCUCUCUCUCUCUCUCUCUCUCUAUCUUUUUAUCCGCUGCAUUUAGAAUCUGAACAUCACUUCAAAAGCUGAAUUCUAUCUGCUUCUGAUCAGUGACUUCAGUAGGAAAAAACUAACACAAUUCAACCCCUCCACUACUCUCUUUGUGUCUACAUCAGGACAAGAAUAACAGCUAUGCCUGCAACGAUGUUCCUCCAUACUUGGAAUGGAUUUGAAAUUGAUCCUUCAUAGUAUAAUAACCAAAUCGGGAAAAAGAUCAUUGGUGAUUUGAUCAAGCUUCAAACGACUCUUUUUGAUGUGUUGGGAAUUCACAACGUCUCUUUCACACCUCUAUAUAAAGGAGUGAAGACUUAGAGAAUGACAAGACUCAUACAACAAUUUACAAGUGUCAAAACUCUGUCAAAAUUGUUCUGCAUCAAAAGUUCACUUAGAAUUUCUUAACAACUUUCAUAUCUUAGAAAUUCUAUAGUCUUAAGAGUCUGUAUCUGAUUUGUAUUGUGAAUACCACUAAUUGUAUAUCAAGUGUUCAACCUCAAACAUAUUUAUUUGCAAUUCUAUUUGAAUAGAAGUCUCUUGCUUUUGUGCUUGAGUAUAGAAAGUCUCUUGAUUUAGUUCUUGAGCAUAGGAAAUCUCUUGCAGUCUUGAGUAGUUUGAAGUCUCUUGGUAGUUUUAGCAGUGAGCAAUUGUAAUCAAAUAUUACAUUUUUAGUGGACUCUCCUUGGAAGUGCAAGAGGAAUAUGACUACUUCCGGUUUGUGGAAGGAACCUCUAUAAUUGCUUUGUGUCUUUCUUCUCUCUCUCUCUCUCUCUCUCUCUCUCUCUCUCUCUCUAUCUAUCUAUCUUUUUAUCCGCUGCAUUUAGAAUCUGAACAUCACUUCAAAAGCUGAAUUCUAUCUGCUUCUGAUCAGUGACUUCAGUAGGAAAAAACUAACACAAUUCAACCCCCCCCCCCCCCCCCUCCGGGUGUGUUUUUCUCACCUUCAUAAUAAACAAACAAAAAUAUCUUCAAAUCUUUAUUAAGAUCUCAAAAAAAAUCUCUAGAUUCUCUGCAUAUAAAAUCUGCUGUUUUUUUAAAAGUUAAAGCAAACACAUCCUAAAUCUAAAAUAACUGUUGCACAUGGGAAUCAUUUUUUCAAGACAGCGCUCUGCCCCAGCAAAGCGUUCUCUCCAAACAAAAGAUGAUCAACUUUUUUGAAAUCAUACGUGAAAUAUAGAAUUAUAAUGAAGAAUUCAUCUAUAUGAUCGUAAAGUGUCUUUAUUUAUUAUAGUAGGUAAUUAUGAUUACACUAUUGUUUUCCAUUUCUUCUAUGAGUUCAUGAUGACAACAUAGUUGCAUAAUAUAACAAUACAUAUGUUUUUUUCAUUGAAAUUGACAACUUAAUCUAUAUCGUACUCAGAAGUGCAUUGACAAGUUAAAUUAAUGCACUUCAGAGUUAGAUCAGUUGGACACAUAUCUGGUGGACAUUCAGGGGUAAAUAGGCAUGGAGGAGCAUCUGGGAGGCCUAACAAGAACAAAAUAAAUGUUAAUAUAGAUGAUGGAAUAUUAUAUAUAAGUUAAAUUAUAAUUUUGAAAAUGAUUUAAAACAUUACUCACUUCCAUUGAUUGCGAUCAUAAAUAGGGAAACAAAGAUGAGUAAAGUAUAAAAGAAAUAAAGGAUUCGAGCCAUAAUUUUUGCGCUUUUGCAUGUAAUAAAUGAAAAAUAUUUUGAUCUUUAUAAACAAAAUGUAAUGCUUUGUAAACUUCAAUGAAAUAGUUUUUAACCCCUAGGAGGUGCAAGAAGCCAUUCAAAAAAUUGAAAUAAUUGGUAAAUGUUUCUAUAUUACAUCAAUCUGUCUUGUUUAUCUCUUUACAAGUUCAACUGAUCACUUAGUUUUAGUAAAAUAUUAUUUAAAAAUUUUAAUAAUCAUCAAAGAUCAUUCAUAUUUUUUUUAUUAAACUUCUAAUUUAUUUUUUAUUUCUCUUUUACCUUUUUAUGGUAAAGAAGAGACACAUAAAAAUAUUUGGGUAGAAAUUUAAACAUUAUUGACGAAUGAUGAAAAACUCUUUGGGUAGAAAUCAUUCACCGAUCAGGUGACAAUACUUACUUAUUCCUGAGAAACUAAAAUAACCAUAUUAUAAUGUUAUUUUAUUGACAAUUUUCCAUACUUGUAACACAUGUUAGAAAUAAGACCACACUCGAUUGGUACGUUAGUUAGAAAUAUAUUCUAUGUUAAGGGAUAUUGUAUAUUAUAUUUUUGGGGCCGGAGUUUAAACCCAUACAUUUUAUUUUUUCACAAUUAAAUUGUGUGAGCUCUAACCAUUAAGUUAUUUAAUAAAAAAAGACUACUUGACAAAAAAAAAUUAUAAACAGGAUUUUAUCAGCCAAUUUUGCUAAUAAAAAAUUGGCUCGCUCUAAGGAAAUUCACAAUUAUCAAAGCGGCUAAUGAUUAAACUAGGUGAGAUUGAUGGAACCCAUGCGUCGUUUUCAUGUUAAAAAGUAUCUUUAGGGUAUCAUUUAAGCAUCCAAAAGUAGUAGUUUUUAUAUUGGAAAUUAUGUAGCAUGACUUUUAUGUUUAUUUGAUUUAUUUUUAAGACAAAUUUUUUUUGUAGAUUCCUUAAGCAAUACCCUCAAAAUAUUUGUUAGCGAGACCUUUCAAAUUGAAGUAAAAAUAACAGUGACAAAAGAGGGUUAUAAUUGUGACUAUUUAAAAAUUGGAUCUUUCACUUUGUAAAAAAAAUUUCUCAAUUUAAAACAAUACACUUAACUGUAUGUGUAGUUUGAUUUGCAUGUACCGAGAGUAAAGAGUAUAGUUGCAGAGUUAACACACAAGAACUAUCAUGGUUAUUUAGUUGAAGAGUAUAGUCCUCACAACCGUGAGAUUUCACUAUUGUAUUUAGAUAACCUUUUCCAAUCUUCCCUCACACCUUAUAUCACUCUUUUUCUUACACCUUAGUUUAUCAUAGCCUUUUCAGACUACUAACACUACUAUCACUUAAUCCUUUUUUACAACCUAAAUAAGAUUAAAGGCGUUUUAAAAAAAAAAAAAAACUGAUAGGAGUUUGACUAUGAUCUCAAUUAGUGUAUUUUGUGUAUGAUUCUAAAUUACACUUUGAAUGAUGUUAAAACAUCUAUACUAUACGAGCGAAAAGAUAGAAACUUCCAAAUAAUUGGAUCUCUCUCCAAUCUUCUCUUCUUGCAUCCUAAAGUUCUUCUCUUCUAGCUCAUCUCUUCUCUCAGAUAUUCCUUAUUAGUUGUAAACCUAAUUCUCCAAAGACUACAAUCUAUUUAUAUUUUCUUGUUUGGCCUUGGUUCUCUCACAUCAUUUAAUGGACUAAGUUUCUAUCAUAUUUAUUUUCGACAAAUAAAACUUUACUCGGUAAUUCGACUUAAACCUCCUAUUUACCCAUACACCUCUAUUCUCUAAAUUUCUAGUAAUUAACUAACCCAUAAAUUCAACCACGUUAAAUAAAAGUAAUAAACACAUAAAUUUCUAAAUACUACUAAUAUUACUAAUAUCACAUAAAAAUUAUAACAUUAAUAAACUAGUAAUAAAAAUUGGGAUGUUACACAUUUAGAGCAAUAAUUUCCUUGUGCUCAAAACUUUUUAGGGCUGGCCUUUUGCAGUGAGAUUCAACAUUAAGAUUCGCCAAUUGCACAUGCUUAAGAAUAGGGAUCGAAUCCCCGUUAGUAUUUUCCCCAAUCAUCUCAUCUGUUGCAUUAACCAAAGGCAUAUGCAAUGAAGUUCUUACCACGGUGAGGUCAACUUGCUUUGCGACUUCACUCCCUUUCUACACGGUUUCAUCCACAUUAAUCAAUCGAUGCUCAAUGUGAUCAACUGGUUUCAACGUGUUGGUUGUGUCCAAGUUGACCCUUUUCUUUAGUACAUAUUGCUAUAAAAGUUUCUUUGAUGCUGGUAAUCUUUAUCCAAAGGUUUCUUUCUGAGAACAAUUGUCUUAUGGGGAUGGAUCCAUUUAAAAGUUGAAACGGAAUGACCUAUGAUAAAUCGUAUCCAUAUCCAUUAAAAUUCUUGCAUAGUGAUCGAAAAGUUUGUUAUGUGUUGGAUCGUCUAGAUUUAAUGGUGUUGCAAUGACACUGGCAAUUUUAAAGUGUGUCUGAUCAUGCCAAUAUUCCUGUGGCAAAUCAAUUAAAUGGAUCCAAACUUAUGCAUGAGUUUGACGUUGAGUAAUAUGAUUAAAGUCCUUCUGCCAUUCAGAUAUUUGAAGGACAGCCAAACAUAAAUCUCUGUAGUUUGAAAACUUGAAAUUACAAAACCCACGUUUGAGAUAAAUUAUUUUUCACCUGUAGUAUUCCACAACUUGGAAAGCUUAAGCUUCAGUCAUUCGCACAGGGGCGGAUCUAGAUAUGAUGGUUUGAUGUGGCAAAAUUAUAAAAGAAUUUUUUUAGUGUACAUUUGAUUUAUAAUAUAAUAGCAAAGUAGCUAAAGCAAGUUUGUUACAUAUCUAUGUCUCAGGUUCAAAUCUCAUCCACCACACUUUUGAUGAUUUUCUCCUUAAAAUAUUAAAAAAAAGUUUAAAUAGAUCACACAUUAAUUUGUGAAACAUUGUCAAAUUAUGUGAUAUAUAUUAUGUUUUCGGUCUACUAUAUUAACUAAAAAAAUUUGGCUGUAAUCUGGUGUGGCAGCUGCCACACCAUGCCUAACACUAGAUCCGCCCAUGUUCGCGCUAUACAUCUUAUCUCCUUUGUUUAGAACCAAUCGACCAUGAAUUCUCAUAUGCAUAAUGGGUAAUCUUGAUACAUAAAGAAUCUAAAGUAUUAAUCUGAUUUUGAGAAUCCAUAUUGCUCAGCCAAUUGAAAAAUUGAUACACACGAAAAGCAAAACGAAAUUGUUCACCCAAAACGAUCAAAGAAAGAUCACGUAACCAAGUAACAAACAUCAAUCAUUAUUGUAACAAAACAAUGGAUUCCCCAAUUUCAGUAGACUAAAGCCUGUUUGUUUCAGAUAUUUUUUUCUAAAAAAAACACUUUUGUUAUUUUUAAGUGUUUGUUUAAGAUUUUAAAAAAAUAAUCUAUUUUGACUCUAAAAUGAAAGGCUAUUAGGAUUAAUUUUUCACAAAUAUUUUUUCUUCAAAAACAAAGAGGUAACAUGUGCAAGUAAAAUGAAGAAUUCAUCUGCAUAGUCAUAUAGUGUCUUUAUUUAUUAUAGUAGGUAAUUAUGAUUAAACCAUAAUAUUAUUGUUAUGCAUUUCUUCUGAGUUCAUGAUGGCAAUAUAGUUGCAUAAUAUAACAAUACAUAUGAUCUUUUCAUUGAAAUUGACAACUUAAUCUAAAUCGUACUCAGCAGUGCAUUGACAAGUUAAAUUAAUGCACUUCGCAAAUAGAUCAGUUGGACACAGAUCUGGUGGACAUUCAUUGCUAAAAAGGCAUGGAAGAACAUCAGGGAUGCCUAAUAAGAAUAAAAUAAAUGUUAGUACAUAUGAUGUAAUAUUAUAUAAAAAUUAAAGGGCUAAAUAAAUUUUUACAUGCAUGUUGUUGUUUGAAGAAGUUAAAACGAAUUUAGAUUAAUCAAAAGAUCAACACUUCCAGCACGAGGUGUGUGCUUGGAAGAAAUGGUUAAAUCAAAAGAUAACAAGGUCAACUUAAGAACAUUAUAAGAAACUUCAAAAAUGUUGAACGAACUUUAUUUUUAGUCCUCAUAAAAAAAAUUGACAUAUUUUUAACACAUAAUAAACUAAAUAUUAAUUUUUCUAAACAUCAAAUUUUGACCUAGAAUUCAAAUUUUGAACUAAUAUUUCUCAGAGGAACUUUGUAUUAUUAUGUUCUAAAUAAAUAUGUCAAGAAUUAUUUAAAUGUUUAAAAAUUUAAGUAUAAUUAAUCAAAUUUUAAUUUUACAAGGACUAAAAUUUUAUGUUCUAAAUUUUUUUAUUAAGACCAAAACAUGUC